GACGAACGCUGGCGGCGUGCCUAAUACAUGCAAGUAGAACGCUGAAGGAGGAGCUUGCUUCUCUGGAUGAGUUGCGAACGGGUGAGUAACGCGUAGGUAACCUGCCUGGUAGCGGGGGAUAACUAUUGGAAACGAUAGCUAAUACCGCAUAAGAGUAGAUGUUGCAUGACAUUUGCUUAAAAGGUGCAAUUGCAUCACUACCAGAUGGACCUGCGUUGUAUUAGCUAGUUGGUGGGGUAACGGCUUACCAAGGCGACGAUACAUAGCCGACCUGAGAGGGGGAUCGGCCACACUGGGACUGAGACACGGCCCAGACUCCUACGGGAGGCAGCAGGAGGGAAUCUUCGGCAAUGGACGGAAGUCUGACCGAGCAACGCCGGGUGAGUGAAGAAGGGUUUCGGAUCGUAAAGCUCUGUUGUAAGAGAAGAACGAGUGUGAGAGUGGAAAGUUCACAAUGUGACGGUAUCUUACCAGAAAGGGACGGCUAACUACGUG
rnacentral:rRNA from 1 species